GUUGGAGGGCCCGGGACAAGCAGCUCCCGGCGCCGCCAGGAAGCGCUCGCCCAGCCCGGCGGGCGGGUGUCCAGCCGCGGGGUAGGACGCUGGCUUCUCCGCUGUCGGAGGGCCGGAGGGUGGCGAAGCCCAGAGCCGCAGCUCUCGGACAGGGGUCACCGGCCCUGUGUCAGGCCCGAGUCCCCGAGAUGCCCGGGCCAAUCUUGUUAGCUUGUUGCACAGCGCUUUCCGGAGAAAAGCGGUCCAGCCUCAGUUAUUUCUUCCUCGAAGGAUAGUGGUUUCUUGGUGAGAGCACCAAGGCAGAGGCAUUGAGCCAUGUGCCUGUGUGGAUCAGCACAUGAAGAUUCUUACUGCCUGCCUGCAUUUUAAGCCAGAAAUACGCAAUUAAUUUUGCAUCAGGAGUCUUUAUAACUUGCUAUUCACAUCCCUAGUUCUUCACUGUUUCAAGUUUUAAAUGUGCCCAAACUAAACAAAUUGUUCCUUAAGCCCCCUGCUUUUCUUGAUGAUGUACAAGAGCUGUGCUUCUGCACAUACCUGUCAAGUUAGUACUUUGAGCCAUUUUCCCCAAAUCUGGAUGAUAGGUUUGAGAGAGAAGAGAGUUUGCUACAGUUUUACUUUUGCCAUUUUACUGGCGAAUGCUUACAAGGCUUUGCCUAAUAUUCCACUGCAAUCCUACAGCUUCCCUUUGUUUUCUCUUUCAAAAUUGAGUUCAUUUAUUAUAGCUGAAUAGAAGCUAAACUUUAUAAAUAGAAGGAAUAAUGUUGAAGCCCCAAAAUUUUCAUGUUAUUCUUCAAACCUAGGACUCUGUCCCUGAGGAGGAGAAUGCAGCUCAGUCCGUGAAAGCAUUUACUCCCUUGCAUCUCUUCUCAGCUGUCAGCCAAGGGCAUGAUUUGAGCUGCUUGGGCUGGCCUCUCUACCAGGUAAUUGAUGGCUAUUGCUGGCUCAUUUCACACAGGCCAUGACUUUAAUUUCCUAGGCUAUAUAUGAACCAGCAAACUGGCAAACCAGUUUAGAAACAAUAGGUUAGCCACCAGUGCUCUGGGCAGUCCAGUCUCAUUGGGAGAACUUGUACUGCCCAGAAAGAUGAAAACAGUGUAUUGCCAAAGCUGAAGGCUUUUGUCAGCUGAAAACAGAGGCAGUGGCUGUGCAUCUACUCGACCUGCCUGUAUACCUGCUCUCCUCUCCUGUCAUUGCUCUUGAAUGUCCUGCAAAAUAUUUUAAAAAAACAGGUCUGCUGGAUCUCCAGAAAACAGCUCUUCCUCUGUUUUUUUUUAUUGCUCUUUCUAGUUCUUACAUUUAGGUAAAUAAGAAAUCACUCUUCGUGGUUUUUUUUCUGGAGAAGUCCUUUUUUGAAAGAGAGGAUUAACUACCCCCACGCAAAUGCUGGUACCAGUCUGCAUGUGAGGCAGCUAAAACUUCUACAUAUAAAGAAGGCUUUAUUACACAAAUGUGAAUGUUAAACUGAUGGAUGUAUAAGCUCUAAUGUAGUUGUUGCUUUCAAUAGUUAAAGCAUUAUUUAGGUGUAGUCAUUCCUUAGUCUUUUUUGUGUAAGAUCUUAGCCCUUGAAAAAAGAGGCUUGCUUUAAUUGUAUUUUAAUAAAAUCCAUUGGGGCUUUUUAUUUCAUUAUGUAACGGUAUCUAUCUUAUAAUAACACAUUUUCACUAAGGAGCUGUGUGAGAAGUGCUGAAUUAAUAAAACUACUUUUCUCUUUUA